CUUGUCAACAAUGUCUCCUCCUGAGUCAAAUAUGUUACGUGUUGAUUUUCGAUCAGCUCAUGUUCUUUAUCUCAAUAAUUUGGAGGAGGAUGCUAUGUAUAAGCGAUGGCGAAGUAACAUAAAUGAGAUUUUGAUGCCUGUCUUCCCUGGGCAACUGCGUUACAUCCGCAAGAACUUGUUCCAUGCAGUUUAUGUUCUUGAUCCAGCCACCAGUCACGGUCUUGAGUGCAUCGAUAUGAUUAUAUCCUUGUAUGAGAACAACUUUCCAAUGAGAUUUGGGUUGAUUCUGUAUUCUUCUAAGUUUAUCAAGAAAAUUGAAGAUGGUGGUGGUGAUCUCCAUUUAUCUGCUGUGGAGAAUGACAGUCAAAAGGAGGAUACAUCCAGCUUGAUCAUACGUCUCUUCAUCUAUAUCAAGGAAAACUAUGGAAUUAAAACAGCUUUCCAGUUUCUAGGCAAUAUAAAUAGAUUACGAAUGGAGUCAGCAGAGUCUGUAGAUGAUUCUCCUGAGAUGCACCAUGUGGAAGGAGCAUUUGUAGAAAC
rnacentral:misc_RNA from 1 species